rnacentral:lncRNA from 1 species
GAAUCAAUAGUUUUACUUUCAUUCGUAUGUUUGAAAUAUGAAUAGGAGUUUUAUUACAUAGUGAUUAACAUGAGAGUUAGGAUGUCAUAAUCUCUGAUGCAAUACAGAAACACUUAACAGACAGACAGAGUUUCUACAAGGCUCUGUCGCAGCAUGCAAGCAAGCUGUACGUAUUGUAUUGAAAGCGGAAAUAACAGAAAACAUUGAAAGAGGAUCAAUAAGUUCAUCAAAAGUGAAACAAGCUGGAUGACCUUCAGCUAAAGUAAUACGACAGGAGUGGUGAGAGUUCAGUAACAAUCUAUAGAGACCUUGUUCAGCUAGCCCUGAUGAAUGAUCAAAUUCUUCAAUUUGUCCUUUACAAAACACAUACAUAUCCGUAAACUCAACAACCAUGUUAUUAUCUAAGUUGAGAAAUUACUGCUUAUAAGAUUCUUAACUAUAUGUAGCACAAGCAGGAUAUAAAGAUCAGUGACCUGCAUUCUUAAAACUUCACUCCCAAUAUGAGUAAUUCUAUUAGCGAUUUGAAGUUUUAGAGUUACCUUCAAAAGAUCAGUGACCUGCAUGUUACUCUGAAGUUGUUUGUAAAAUGAUGAGUUUGCUCCACCACUCGCCUAACAAAGUUGUGCUCGUGAGGUAUGUGGGCCUUAAGAGUUAAGUCCGAGACCCAACAAAGCCCAAAUGCUCUAUUUCAGAGAAACUACCGUGCGGAGUCAGUCGAUUCGUGCUACAUUUAAUAUUAUUAAUUACGGCAGGCAUUGUGAUAUGAUGAGUCAUACCCCACUAGCGAGCAUCAAUUUUUUCAUCUUGAAUUCACCACCCACCACGAUGCUUCGUCACCUCUCCACGCGUCUUUAAAUUCACAGCAUCAACCGAAAACCCUAACGCCCCAAAUAGAAUGAGAGAUGAAGAAGAAGAGUUGAGGAAAGGGCUGAGGCCCGUAAGACAUUUUCGGUCAUGGGAGGAUUGGCGAAAAAAUCUUUCAAUUUUACCAUAAAGUAUAUAAGAUGACGAUGAUGAUUAAAUGAAAUCUUUUGCCAACUCCUCCCAUGCCGAUGAUUUCUUAUGGUUUCAAUUCUUUCCAAUCAAACUCUUAUCUGGCCAUCUGGGUACAUCUCCGUUUUCAAAUCAAUUGAGAGAAAGGGAAAGAGAGAGGAUGCUG